rnacentral:rRNA from 1 species
AACGAACGCUGGCGGCAUGCCUAACGCAUGCAAGUCGAACGAGACCUUCGGGUCUAGUGGCGCACGGGUGCGUAACGCGUGGGAAUCUACCCUUGGGUUCGGAAUAACAGUUAGAAAUGACUGCUAAUACCGGAUGAUGACGUAAGUCCAAAGAUUUAUCGCCCAAGGAUGAGCCCGCGUAAGAUUAGCUUGUUGGUGGGGUAAUGGCCUACCAAGGCGACGAUCUUUAGCUGGUCUGAGAGGAUGAUCAGCCACACUGGGACUGAGACACGGCCCAGACUCCUACGGGAGGCAGCAGUGGGGAAUUUUGGACAAUGGGCGAAAGCCUGAUCCAGCAAUGCCGCGUGAGUGAUGAAGGCCUUAGGGUUGUAAAGCUCUUUUACCAGGGAUGAUAAUGACAGUACCUGGAGAAUAAGCUCCGGCUAACUCCGUGCCAGCCGCCGCGGUAA